GCCCCCGUGGCGCAAUCGGUAGCGCGUGAGACUCUUAGUCUCUCCUUACCCCGAUUACGGGCCAUAAGUUGUUAAAUCUCAAGGUUGCGGGUUCGAGCCCCGCCGGAGGCU